rnacentral:misc_RNA from 1 species
AAUUAUCAACCUUGAAGGCUUUCGUGGCUUUUCUCGGCUUGGAUGUGAGGGCUUGCUGGCUUCCUUCAGUGGAUUGGUCUGCUCCCUUCAAAUGCAUUAGCGGGAUCUCUUGUGGACCGUCACUGGGUGUGAUAAUUAUCUACGCUCUGUGACUUUGAAGCAAACUCUAUGAGAACCUGCUCAUAACCGUCCUUCGGGACAACUUCAAUCUUA